rnacentral:rRNA from 1 species
AGAGUUUGAUCCUGGCUCAGGAUGAACGCUAGCGGCAGGCUUAACACAUGCAAGUCGAGGGGUAACAGGAGAGCUUGCUCUUGCUGACGACCGGCGCACGGGUGCGUAACGCGUAUACAAUCUGCCUUGUACUAGGGGAUAGCCUUUAGAAAUGAAGAUUAAUACCCUAUAGUCUAUUAGAAUGGCAUCGUUUUAAUAGUAAAGGUUACGGUACAAGAUGAGUAUGCGUCCUAUUAGUUUGUUGGUAAGGUAACGGCUUACCAAGACUACGAUAGGUAGGGGCCCUGAGAGGGGGAUCCCCCACACUGGUACUGAGACACGGACCAGACUCCUACGGGAGGCAGCAGUGAGGAAUAUUGGACAAUGGGCGAGAGCCUGAUCCAGCCAUGCCGCGUGCAGGAAGACGGCCCUAUGGGUUGUAAACUGCUUUUAUACAGGAAGAAACACUCUCUCGAGAAGAGAGCUUGACGGUACUGUAAGAAUAAGGACCGGCUAACUCCGUGCCAGCAGCCGCGGUAAUAAGGGCGAAUUC